rnacentral:misc_RNA from 1 species
AGACAAAGGAAAGCCACACAAACUGAG